rnacentral:lncRNA from 10 species
GCAUCUUUUUUUGUUGUUUUUUUGUUUGUUUGUUUUUGUCUCUGGGCUCUGAAGAUUGAAGUUUAUUAAUUGCUGAGAAGGAAAUAAAAGAGGUGUGGUGGAAAGGUCUUCCAGAACCAGAGGCUAAGCACACAGCAGUACAAAUAUAAAUUCUUUAUUCCAGCUUCCAGAAUUCCUCCUCUUCAGCCUUGCCUGCUCACUGGAAUAAUGAAGCAAUUAAACAGUGGUGUAAAGAAGUUCCAUCCAGUGGUUGAAGUUCAAUAGAAAACAAGGAAAUAGGCUGAUGUAUAUCAAAUACACCAUCGGCACUCUGAGUCCUUCCCAGGUUCCCUAAAGGGGGAGGAGGGGACACCGUUUUAG